AUUCAAUAACGAAACCAAGUUGGUUCAUCUCGCACUUUGAACCUUGAGCUGUUUCUACUGGUUUGAUCCUUUUUUAAACAUCAGAGGGGAGAAGGAAGUUGCAUAUAUGGCAGCAAA